GCGGAGGAAAAGAAACCAACAGGGAUUGCCCUAGUAACGGCGAGUGAAGCGGCAACAGCUCAAAUUUGAAAUCUGGCUCCCUUGGGGGUCCGAGUUGUAAUUUGUAGAGGGUGCUUUGGUAUUAGCUGUGGUCUAAGACCCUUGGAACAGGGCGUCACAGAGGGUGAGAAUCCCGUAUGUGGCCAGCAGCUCUUGCCUUGUAAAGCCCCUUCGACGAGUCGAGUUGUUUGGGAAUGCAGCUCUAAAUGGGAGGUAAAUUUCUUCUAAAGCUAAAUACUGGCCAGAGACCGAUAGCGCACAAGUAGAGUGAUCGAAAGAUGAAAAGCACUUUGGAAAGAGAGUCAAAAAGCACGUGAAAUUGUUGAAAGGGAAGCGCUUGCAGCCAGACUUGCCCGUAGUUGUUCAUCCAGGCUUCUGCCUGGUGCACUCUUCUGCGGGCAGGCCAGCAUCAGUCCAGGCGGUCGGAUAAAGGCCUUGGGAAUGUGGCUCCUUUCGGGGAGUGUUAUAGCCCAGGGUGCCAUGCGGCCAGCCUGAACUGAGGUCCGCGCUUCUGCUAGGAUGCUGGCGUAAUGGCUGUAAGCGGCCCGUCUUGAAACACGGACCAAGGAGUCUAACAUCUAUGCGAGUGUUUGGGUGUCAAGCCCGAGCGCGCAAUGAAAGUGAACGGAGGUGGGAACCCCUCGGGGUGCACCAUCGACCGAUCCUGAUGUCUUCGGAUGGAUUUGAGUAAGAGCAUAGCUGUUGGGACCCGAAAGAUGGUGAACUAUGCCUGAAUAGGGUGAAGCCAGAGGAAACUCUGGUGGAGGCUCGCAGCGGUUCUGACGUGCAAAUCGAUCGUCAAAUUUGGGCAUAGGGGCGAAAGACUAAUCGAACUAUCUA
rnacentral:rRNA from 1 species